GCUUUCACUGGGAGCUACAAUCCCGAGGUGUUAGUGGUCGGCCAUCUUGGAUUGAUCAGAGUCAUAUUUUGGGGAGGCAUAUUGUGGUCUCCCAGAUCAUAUUUCAGGGAGGCAUACUGUGGUCUCCUAGAUCAUAUUUUGGGGAGGCAUAUUGUGGUCUCCCAGAUCAUAUUUCAGGGAGGCAUACUGUGGUCUCCCAGAGUCAUAUUUCGGGGAGGCAUAUUGUGGUCUCCCAGAUCAUAUUUCAGGGAGGCAUACUGUGGUCUCCUAGAUCAUAUUUUGGGGAGGCAUAUUGUGGUCUCCCAGAUCAUAUUUCAGGGAGGCAUACUGUGGUCUCCCAGAUCAUAUUUCGGGGAGGCAUACUGUGGUCUCCCAGAUCAUAUUUCGGGGAGGCAUAUUGUGGUCUCCCAGAUCAUAUUUCAGGGAGGCAUACUGUGGUCUCCCAGAUCAUAUUUCCGAGAGGCAUAUUGUGGUCUCCCAGAUCAUAUUUCGGGGAGGCAUACUGUGGUCUCCCAGAUCAUAUUUCGGGGGGGCAUACUGUGGUCUCCCAGAGUCAUAUUUCGGGGGGGCAUACUGUGGUCUCCCAGAUCAUAUUUCGGGGAGGCAUAUACUGUGGUCUCCCAGAUCAUAUUUCGGGGAGGCAUACUGUGGUCUCCCAGAUCAUAUUUCGGGGAGGCAUACUGUGGUCUCCCAGAUCAUAUUUCGGGGAGGCAUAUUGUGGUCUCCCAGAGUCAUAUUUCGGGGAGGCAUAUUGUGGUCUCCCAGAUCAUAUUUUGGGGAGGCAUAUUGUGGUCUCCCAGAGUCAUAUUUCGGGGAGGCAUAUACUGUGGUCUCCCAGAGUCAUAUUUCCUAGAGGCAUAUUGUGGUCUCCCAGAUCAUAUUUCCGAGAGGCAUAUUGUGGUCUCCCAGAUCAUAUUUCGGGGAGGCAUACUGUGGUCUCCCAGAUCAUAUUUCGGGGGGGCAUACUGUGGUCUCCCAGAUCAUAUUUCGGGGGGGCAUACUGUGGUCUCCCAGAUCAUAUUUCGGGGGGGCAUACUGUGGUCUCCCAGAGUCAUAUUUCAGGGAGGCAUACUGUGGUCUCCCAGAUCAUAUUUCGGGGGGGCAUACUGUGGUCUCCCAGAGUCAUAUUUCAGGGAGGCAUACUGUGGUCUCCCAGAUCAUAUUUCGGGGGGGCAUACUGUGGUCUCCCAGAGUCAUAUUUCGGGGAGGCAUACUGUGGUCUCCCAGAUCAUAUUUCGGGGAGGCAUAUACUGUGGUCUCCCAGAUCAUAUUUCCGAGAGGCAUAUUGUGGUCUCCCAGAUCAUAUUUCGGGGAGGCAUAUUGUGGUCUCCCAGAGUCAUAUUUCGGGGAGGCAUAUUGUGGUCUCCCAGAGUCAUAUUUCGGGGAGGCAUACUGUGGUCUCCCAGAUCAUAUUUCGGGGAGGCAUAUUGUGGUCUCGCAGAGUCAUAUUUCGGGGAGGUAUACUGUGGUCUCCCAGAGUCGUAUUUCGGGGAGGCAUAUUGUGGUCUCCCAGAGUCAUAUUUCAGGGAGGCAUAUUGUAGUCACCCAGAGUCAUAUUUCGGGGAGGCAUAUUGUGGUCUCCCAGAUCAUAUUUUGGGGAGGCAUAUUGUGGUCUCCCAGAUCAUAUUUUGGGGAGGCAUAUUGUGGUCUUCUACACUGGUCAUGCCAAAGCACUGGCAACCAUUAUAG
rnacentral:lncRNA from 1 species